UGAGUAACACGUAGGGAACCUGCCCCUAAGACGAGGAUAACUACUGGAAACGGUAGCUAAUACUGGAUAGGAUAGGUUGACGCAUGUUGGCUUAUUUAAAGGUGCCUAUAAAGCACCGCUUAGGGAUGGCCCUGCGGCGCAUUAGCUAGUUGGUGGGGUAACGGCCUACCAAGGCGACGAUGCGUAGCUGUGCUGAGAGGCAGAACAGCCACACUGGGACUGAGACACGGCCCAGACUCCUACGGGAGGCAGCAGUAGGGAAUUUUCGGCAAUGGGGGGAACCCUGGCCGAGCGAUGCCGCGUGAGUGAUGAAGGUCUUCGGAUUGUAAAACUCUGUUAUUAGGGAAGAAUACUAUAGGGAGGAAAUGCCUUAUAGAUGACGGUACCUAAUGAGGAAGCCCCGGCCAACUAUGUGCCAGCAGCCGCGGUAAUACAUAGGGGGCGAGCGUUAUCCGGAAUUACUGGGCGUAAAGGGUGCGUAGGCGGUUUCUUAAGUCUAGUGUGAA
rnacentral:rRNA from 1 species